AAAGCUUGUGGCUGGGGUCUCGCCAGUGACAGAAAACAUUGCUAUGCGUAACAGUGGCCACAGUAACUUCCUCUCCUUUCUCCUGUUAGAGAAUGAUGAUGAUGGUGUCUUUGAAAGUCUUUGGCAUUUCCUUGGCCCUCAUAAACCGGCAGCAACCCUUGGGCAACUUCCAAGUCGACCCCUCUCCUUCCCGCUUGACAUCUAAAACAUACACUUUCCAGUUACUGAAGAAAGAAGAGGACCAAAGUUAUUUUGUAGUUUAACUGUGAUCCUGUCCAUAUCUAUUUAGACCACGUUUUGUUUCUUUAAAGCAUUUUGGGGUUAAGAAUAUUAGGUAUCAAACAGUUCA